GGGCCACUAGCUCAGCAGGCAGAGCACCACCCUUUUAAGGUGGGUGUGCCGCGUUCGAGUCGCGGGUGGCUCA
rnacentral:tRNA from 1 species